rnacentral:rRNA from 1 species
GUCUAUGGCCAUACCACCCUGAACACGCCCAAUCUCGUCUGAUCUCCGAAGCUAAGCAGGGUUGGGCCUGGUUAGUACUUGGAUGGGAGAAAAUGAGCGUUUGUUAACC